rnacentral:rRNA from 1 species
AUUGAACGCUGGCGGCAGGCCUAACACAUGCAAGUCGAACGGUAACAGGAAACAGCUUGCUGUUUCGCUGACGAGUGGCGGACGGGUGAGUAAUGUCUGGGAAACUGCCUGAUGGAGGGGGAUAACUACUGGAAACGGUAGCUAAUACCGCAUAACGUCGCAAGACCAAAGAGGGGGACCUUCGGGCCUCUUGCCAUCGGAUGUGCCCAGAUGGGAUUAGCUAGUAGGUGGGGUAACGGCUCACCUAGGCGACGAUCCCUAGCUGGUCUGAGAGGAUGAUCAGCCACACUGGAACUGAGACACGGCCCAGACUCCUACGGGAGGCAGCAGUGGGGAAUAUUGCACAAUGGGCGCAAGCCUGAUGCAGCCAUGCCGCGUGUAUGAAGAAGGCCUUCGGGUUGUAAAGUACUUUUAGCGGGGAUGAAGGGAGGAAAGUUAAUACCCUUGCUCAUUGACGUUACCCGAAGAAGAAGCACCGGCUAACUCCGUG